UACAGAGGUCCCAAGCGUUACUGAGAAUCAUUGGGUUUAAAGGGUGCGUAGGUGGUCCGUUAAGUCAGUUGUGAAAUCCCCGGGCUCAACCCGGGAAAUGCUUCUGAUACUGGCGGACUUGAGGCCAGUAGGGGGUCACUAGAACUGACGGUGGAGCGGUGAAAUGCGUAGAUAUCGUCAGGAAUGCCGGUGGUGAAGACGGGUGACUGGGCUGGUUCUGACACUGAGGCACGGAAAGCGUGGGGAGCGAACGGGG
rnacentral:rRNA from 1 species